UUCCAGACUCCUACGGGAGGCAGCAGUGAGGAAUAUUGGUCAAUGGUCGGGAGACUGAACCAGCCAAGCCGCGUGAGGGAUGAAGGCACAGAGUAUUGUAAACCUCUUUUGUCAGGGAACAAAGGCGGGGACGUGUCCCCGGAUGAGUGUACCUGAAGAAAAAGCAUCGGCUAACUCCGUGCCAGCAGCCGCGGUAAUACGGAGGAUGCGAGCGUUAUCCGGAUUUAUUGGGUUUAAAGGGUGCGUAGGCGGAAUGCCAAGUCAGGGGUAAAAUCGCGGGGCUCAACCUCGUUCCGCCGUUGAAACUGGCAGUCUCGAGUUGGAGAGAAGUAUGCGGAAUGCGCGGUGUAGCGGUGAAAUGCAUAGAUAUCGCGCAGAACUCCGAUUGCGAAGGCAGCAUGCCGGCUCCACACUGACGCUGAGGCACGAAAGCGUGGGUAUCGAACAGGAUUAGAUACCCCUGUAGC
rnacentral:rRNA from 1 species